rnacentral:rRNA from 1 species
GGCGGACGGGUGAGUAACGCGUAGGAAUCUACCUGGUAGUGGGGGACAACUCGGGGAAACUCGAGCUAAUACCGCAUACGCCCUGAGGGGGAAAGCGGGGGAUCUUCGGACCUCGUGCUAUCAGAUGAGCCUGCGUUGGAUUAGCUAGUUGGUGGGGUAAAGGCCUACCAAGGCGACGAUCCAUAGCUGGUCUGAGAGGAUGAUCAGCCACACCGGGACUGAGACACGGCCCGGACUCCUACGGGAGGCAGCAGUGGGGAAUAUUGCGCAAUGGGCGGAAGCCUGACGCAGCCAUGCCGCGUGUGUGAAGAAGGCCUUCGGGUUGUAAAGCACUUUCACUUGGGAAGAAAGGUUUGCGGUUAAUACCCGCAAGCUGUGACAUUACCUUGAGAAGAAGCACCGGCUAACUCCGUGCCAGCAGCCGCGGUAAUACGGAGGGUGCGAGCGUUAAUCGGAAUUACUGGGCGUAAAGCGCGCGUAGGCGGUUUGUUAAGUCGGAUGUGAAAGCCCCGGGCUCAACCUGGGAAUUGCACCCGAUACUGGCCGACUAGAGUACGAGAGAGGGAGGUAGAAUUCC